GAGGAUGAGCUAGGACUUCCACUUGCACCAGCCCUUCUGCUAAGUUUCCCAUUAGCCAAUAUUCUCCGAGAUCCACUUUUCGCAGCUCUUUUCUGUCGGACAAAGUCCAUUAAGGGUGUAAUAAUAGGAGCAUCUUUUGCAGCACCAGCUCUUUCAGCUUCUCUUCUUUCCAAUUGUAUCUCUGCACUGGGAAGAUUCUC
rnacentral:misc_RNA from 1 species